ACUGGCGUUACUCACAGUACAAGCACAUUACCCUAACCUAAAACCAGCCAUAUGCAACCUCUAUGACAAAAAUGCAGUGUGUGAAAAAAUUAGUGGCAACCAUGAAGCUUUUCUCUUGAUUGGUCUCUACUUGUUGGCCUUUGGUAGUGCAGGCUUGAAAGCUUCUCUGCCAGCACAUGGUGCUGACCAGUUUGAUGAAAAAGAUCCCAAAGAAACAAGACAAAUGUCCAGCUUCUUUAAUGGUCUCUUGCUUGCAAUUUGCGUUGGUGGUUCUGUCAGCUUAACUUUUAAUGUAUGGAUACAAGACAACAAAGGAUGGGAUUUGGGUUUGGGAAUCUCCACCAUUGCUAUUGUCUUUGCUAUGAUCACCUUUGCCUUUGGAUUACCACUAUACCGGAUUCAUGUUGCACAAAGAACUAAUCCAAUUGUUGAGAUACUGCAGGUAUACUAUAUUAAACUAGCUAGGGUGCAGACGGCCACUAACAUGGUCGUAUGUCUUUUCUCGAUAAAAAUAUUGAAAGUUACAAAUUAAUGGGAGAAUCAUGGAAACAAAUUUUCUGAUAUUCGGAAAAUAAAUAAAUUAGUAGUAUAAAGAUAGCAUUGAUGAAGCUGUUGAUUUUCCAGGUAUACAUUGCUGCAAUUCGCAACAGAAAUCUGUCCCUUCCUGCUGACUCUGGAGAACUAUAUGAAAUUGAACAGGACAAAGAAGCUUUAAUGGAAAUAGAGUAUCUACCUCAUAGAGACAUUUACAGGUGCACUCUCGCUACUAUCCAAAGCUAUGUUGAUCAUAGCUUAAGCACUAAAAACUAUCGAGUAAAACUACUUAAUCAUAUAUAUUUUGAUUGUGUCAAGAUCGAAAUUGAUGGAUCCAUUUGCACAGGUUCUUGGACAAAGCAGCCAUAGAAAGAAAAUCUGAUGUACAACUUGAAAAGCAAGAGAAUCCAAGCCCAUGGAAACUAUGCAGAGUUACACAAGUAGAAAAUGCCAAAAUAUUUCUAAGCAUGAUCCCAGUAUUCUUCUGUACAAUCAUAAUGACUCUUUGCUUAGCACAGCUUCAAACCUUUUCAGUCCAACAAGGCUUCACAAUGGACACAAGAAUCACCAAACAUUUCAACAUCCCACCAGCAUCCUUACCAAUCAUCCCAGUUGUUUUCUUAAUCUUUAUAAUCCCUUUCUACGACCGAAUCUGCGUGCCACUUCUCCGUAAAUUCACUGGCAUACCAACCGGCAUUACUCACUUGCAGCGAAUAGGCGUUGGCCUAAUACUAUCCUGCAUCUCGAUGGCAAUCGCGGCAAUCAUAGAAGUGAAAAGAAAAAAUGUAGCUAGAGAUAAUAACAUGCUUGAUGCUGUUCCAGGAGUUCAACCAUUACCUUUGAGUAUAUUUUGGCUUUCUUUUCAGUACUUUGUAUUUGGUAUAGCUGAUAUGUUUACCUAUGUGGGACUUCUUGAGUUCUUCUAUUCAGAAGCACCAAAAGGGCUUAAAUCUACUUCAACAUGCUUUCUUUGGAGCUCUAUGGCACUUGGCUAUUUUCUAAGCAGCAUUAUGGUGCAAAUUGUGAAUAGUGCUACCAAGAAUGUUACUGCAAGUGGUGGAUGGUUGGCAGGGAACAAUAUUAACAGAAACCAUUUGAAUCUGUUCUACUUGUUGCUUUCUUUACUGAGCUUGAUCAAUUUCUUUGUCUAUUUGGUAGUUUCAAAGAGGUACAAGUAUAGGCCUCAAGGUCAUGCAAUUAAAGGUGUGGAUUCUCAAUAGAGAAUAUAUGAUUAACAAGUAGUAAGUGUAAAAUUUGUGGGCUAUGCUUUUUUUAUUUGUAAAAGGCUUAAUGAUGUGAUUAGUCCUUACAAUUAGGGGUCGUUUAAAAAUUCGUCCCUGUAAUUGUUAAUCCUGGCAAUUUAGCCUUGCAAUUGUUAAUCAUUUAAAAUUUCGUCCCUCUCCCCACUUAAUCACUGCCACGCCACAUGAAAUUCCAAAUUUACCCCUGGGUUUCCAAUUCUUUCUUCAAUAUUUUGUCCUCUUCUUAAGGGCAAAAUUGAAAUUUCAUGUGUGACAGUGAUUGCCACGUCAUCAAGUUAGUGACGUGGCAGUGAUUAAGUUGGUCCAAGGACCAAAUUUUAAAUGAUUAACAAUUGCAAGGCUAAAUUGCCAGGAUUAACAAUUACAGAGACGAAUUUUUAAAUGACGCCUAAUUGCAAGGACUAAUCACAUCAUUAAACCUUUGUAAAAUGUACGUUUCUCUUACUUGUAAGUUUGUGAUUUUUUUUUUUUUUUUUUUUACAAAUGUAAGUUUGUUAAGUUAGAGGCUAUUUUAUUUUUAAGAAAGUUAGAAGCUAUUGUUUUGUUUACACUUAAAAGUAAUUAUUAUUUUAUGUGAAAUUGGAAGAUAGAUGUUGAAAGGAUAUACUAAUUUCCUUCAGCCGAAUGCAUAUUAAGUGACUGCUAUUAUUACAAGUCGAACUAGGGUUAGUCGAUUCUUUUUCGAGUCUAUUGAAUAGUAAUAGUAUGUGACUCUUUUGGAUUUUUUAAACAAAAUAUCACUUUUAUUAUUUUAAUAUUGUUUUUAGAUUUAAAAAAAAAUAACAUUUUUAACUCGAAAUGAAAAACUAUUCAUAGUAACUGUUCUAUUUUUUUUCUUUCUUUUUAAAAAUGAAGAAUUGAAGCCUUAAGAGUUUCAAAUCUUAUAAAAAAUGAUUUUAAUGAUAGUAAAUAAACAAAAUUUAAGCUUCAACUUCUUUCGAAAAUCUUUAGAAUUUUUUAAAACAAAGUCUUAUUUAAGCCAAAACAAACACACCUUAUAUGGAUCUUGAGGACAUCAAACUUGGUCAAAGCUUAGAAGAAUUGGGCAAUGAGGCAAUCAACUCAUGCUCCAUGUUUGUGGCUCUAGUGACCAAAAAGAGCAAUAAGCACGAAGGCACGUUUCAAGGGCGGUUGCACACAUUGGAAAACUAUAAGCCGAAUGUGGGGAGCCACUUACCCCCUCAACGAGGAAAAACUUAUGCUCCACUACACAAAUAAUGAGCAGUGCUAACUAUUGUAGGUCAUGUUGUUUGGCCAAUAUACAAAUAAUGAGCAGUGCUGACUAUUGCAGAUCAUGUUGUUUGACAAAUAUAAAUAGUUUUGCCUAUAAAUACUCAUUGUACAAUUUCAUGACACACAAACAAUCAAACUCAAGCUAUUUAUGCAUUUUUAUCUUUACCUUUCUUCAUUUAUCUUUAUUUUAAUAUUUUUCUUAGUCCAAGAGCUAAAAACCCAAAAACCACCGUACAUAAUACUCUACCUGAGUCAGGUUUAUUAAACUCGCAUGUCAAAUCGUAGGAGUUUACAAGUUUAGGAGGAUAAAACGAGUUCACUCGCACUCAUACACAAUUUCUUGGUAGACUCCCAUAGACUCGACAAACUCGGCGGGUCUGAUGCUCGAGUUUACGAGUUCAGUGUAAUUCCAUGGAAAAAGACCAAAACAUGUUGGGUCUAACCGUUUCACUCGAAAAGACCCUAAAAGGAAGUUAGUAGACCUCUCUCGUUUCGUCCUUUUGGUCUUAGAAGUUAUAAAACUCAUAAGAACAACAAACCUUUUCUCUUUGUCUCGCGUUCUUGCUACACGUUUCUUGUCGUCUCUAGUCUGCCUAUAAAUAUUCUUGUAAACUUUCAUGACACACGCUAUCAUUCAAACUUAAUCGAUUUACGCAUUUUUAUCCAUUUACCUUGAUAGCUUUAUCUUUAUUUUAUCCUUUUCUUAGCUCAGCAGUUAAAAACCCAAACACAUCGUUCUUAACUUAUUCAAGAAAUUCAUAGCUAAGAAACAUAGUUCAUUCUUCGGUGUAAUCGCUUAAGGAAAGUAAAUCACAGUUGAGAAAUAUCAACCAAUACCUUGGCUAUAUCUCUCAACAACAAUUUUAAAGAAAUUAGAGUGAAGUUUUAUUAUGCCUCAGACUCACUCAUGCCUUCAUACAUGCAUAUUUGAAUUCUCUUUUUGUAAAUCUUUUCACCUUUUAAAAAUAAAAUCAUAAUUUAAUAGAAAAAAUAAAAUGAAAUAUCAUUACAAUUUACAAAGUGAAUCCAUCUUCGCAGUCACUCUAUUAUUUAGCCGGCUAAUUGAUAAUUUUGAUUUUAAUUGAUUGGAAUUAGAGACGCUGCAUUGCCAGUUAACAUUCUUUUAUAAGUGUAGAAGCUAGCAACAAGUGGACUUCUACUGCCUCAACCAAAACCAAAUUAUUCCUAUCAUCGUCAUCAUCGAAAUUUAUUUAUAUUAUAGUAAUUAAGUAUAUGAUGUGAACCUGAUAUGUCACAUCUGUUUGUAGUAUUGUAAUUUUUUUAUAUAUUAUACAUAAUAUAAAACGUUACAACAAAUUUUCUCUUUUUUCUGUGACACUCAGAAAAGAAUACUUGGUUUUAAUUUAUUGCUUACAAGUACUACUAACUAAUAUUAUUUAGCAAAUUCCCAAUAUUUUAAUAAAUGAUCUCCAAAACAAGAUGUUUCAGUAUACUAUAUUUUAGCCCUAGUUGUUAUUGUUAGCAAACAAGGUUUCAAAGAGAAAAGAAAAAAGUUUAAGAGACAAGUUAUACACUCAAGUAUUGGCCAGGAUGCACUUGGAUUAUCCCCAAGAUUUUUUCUCGCUGGAGUAACGUCCAAAGAAAAGUUCAUAUCUAAUAAAACAUCUUACCAUUACCGGCAAUCUGAAUCCAUGAUGAUUUUGUCUCAUGUUAAUCAUGAUUUUGUAAAAACACAGGUGUUUGUUUGUUUUAAUUUCUCUUCAAACCUUGGUUUGAUUACAAAAAAAAAAAAAAAAAAGUAAUUUAUGUGUGUGUCUCGUUAUGCCGUGAAAUAAAUUGAUCUUAUAGUUAAAAGUAAUUGAAGUGAUUUAUGUUCGGCAAAAGUUUGUUGAAUAAUAAAAUUGAAUGUAAUAAUUAUGAUUGGGGUUGAAAACUGCAAUGCAAAUUUUAAUACUAAGUUAAAAUCAAUUUAAGGAUAAAUUCAUUUUCAAUUGACCUGUCUAAAUAAAUUUAUGCGGAUGAAAUCAAUUUUGGCUCACUAUCCCUGCCGUGAAACCAGAACACACACCAUGUGUUGGGGUUGAAAAUUUUACAUUAUUUUUAUAUCAAACUUACUUUUAAGAGUAAAUCAUACAAUUACAAUAUAAAUGGUAGUUAAUCAUAAAAGUGGCUUAUUUGGAAAAAAAAAGACAAAAAAAACUCAUGGGAUACAGCCACUUGGUACACAUGUACGUACUCAUUCUACUGAUGCUCCGAAUCUUCUCUUAUAAAGUCGGCAAAUUCCAUAUAAGCUUCAUUUUUCUAUGGAACACUCUGCCUCCACAUUACAUGCUAUUUUUUUAUAUAUAUAACCAAAAAUAUAUUAAUGGAAGAUAUAUAUAGUUGAGAAAAAGUAUAUAUAGGGAGGGGCGGAGGGCGAAGAUUAGUUUUUAUAUUGGCAUUGUAGUUUACUUGUUCCUCUCUUUCUUUUCUCAAGAACAAUGGUACUCUUCGUUGUUUAUGUACAUUCUUGUUUUAAACUAUUAGAAAAAGUUGAAUCACAACAAAAAUUAGAGACAGGCAAAUAUAUAAUUGGUUUCUAAUUUUGAAAAAGUUGAAUCAUCAACUUAAUUUUGUACUAGUGUUAAUUUCUUACAAGCUACUUAAUUAAUUAUUAAUAUUAUGUAUGUCCAUGCAUGCAUGCAGGAAGAAGAGUUAGUUGAUGGAAAAGUUGAUUGGAGAGGAAGAAGAGCUGUGAGACACAAACAUGGGGGAAUGAAAGUUUCUUUGCUCGUACUAGGUAAUUUAAGACCAAGAAUUUCAUCUUUUUCAACAAAAAAAAAAAAUAAAAGACCAAGAAUUAUAUGGCAAUAUAUUUUCCUUGAAAGUAAUAGUCACGUAUGAAAAAUAACCGUUGGGUAUGGGGGUGCAGGGGCGUUUGCUUUUGAGAGCAUGGCAACUCUAGCACUAGCAGUGAACUUUGUGUCAUACUUCAUUGGGAUUAUGCAUUAUGAACUAGCAGAUGCAGCUAACAUGGUAACCAAUUUCAUGGGAGUUAGUAACUUGCUCUCCAUUGUCGUCGCCGUUCUUGCUGAUUCAUUCAUUGGAAGAUAUAAAACCGUUCUUAUUUCUGGCUUCUUUGAGUGUUUGGUAAGUUUUCAUACUAUAUACACAUUUUAUUUUUGCUAAUAUAUACACCUUUCAUCGGCAACAUUCUAUAUAUCCCAAAAGUAUAAAUAAUUUGGAAACAACUUUCAGAACAUAGGUUUUUGCUAAAAAAAAACUUUCAGAGAUAGAUUUAUGUGUUAUUAAUUAAAUUAUUGAUUGGAUAGAUAAUGUGUGGUAGGAAAAAAAGUUAUUUUGAGGGGACAAGUUAAUUUACAUGGAGAUGGCGUGUAGUAGAAAAAGGGUGGCAAAUAGCAAUUAGCAACCCCUUAUACCAUAUGAGAAACAGUAUAAGCCCAUCACGGAUAACAGAUAAUAAGUCCAUGACCCUAGGAAAAGCAGCAUGGGCAGACCAAAAUUAAGUUCUAACGAAUCUAACAAGUUCUAUCUAAUUGUUGUGAGAUAAUUCAUAUUUAGGAAUAAUUACUUGUAAUUCAAGUAAGUAGUGAAUCGAUUCAUGAAUUGAUUUAUAUUGUGCAAAUAACUGUUUUAGUUAGUUAGUGACUUGUUGAACAAGUCAGAGGAGUUACUUAGUUUGUUGAGAUCGUUAGUUGGUUUUUUCAGUUUUUUUUAAUCGGUUUGCAGUUUUGAUUUGAAUUAGAUUGAAUAUGAACGCUCCUACCUUACAUGAGAACUUUUAUACCAUGUUUUGCUCUAUUUAACACCUAAAAAUUUCAAGUAAUGGAGUCUUAUUGUGAACUAUGCUGCAGGGACUGGCGUUACUCACAGUACAAGCACAUUACCCUAAUCUGAAACCAGCCAUAUGCAACUUACUUGACAAAAAUGCAGUGUGUGAAAAAAUUAAUGGCAACCAUGAAGCUUUUCUCUUCAUUAGUCUAUACUUGUUGGCCUUUGGUAGUGCAGGCUUGAAAGCUUCUCUGCCAGCACAUGGUGCUGACCAGUUUGAUGAAAAAGAUCCCAAAGAAACAAGACAAAUGUCUAGCUUCUUUAAUGCUCUCUUGCUUGCUGUUUGCAUUGGUGGUUCUGUCAGCUUAACAUUUAAUGUAUGGAUACAAAACAGCAAAGGAUGGGAUUGGGGAUUUGGAAUAUCCACCAUUGCUAUUGUCUUUGCUAUGAUCAUCUUUGCCCUUGGAUUGCCACUAUACAGAAUUCAUGCUGCACAAAGAACUAAUUGCAUUAUUGAGAUCUUGCAGGUAGUAUAUUACAUUAAUCUAGCGUGCAACGGCCACUUACACGGUGGUAUAUCCUUAAAGUUGCAUAAUUAUAUGUUAUUAUUCAGUUAUUUGAUUAAAUAAAUUAAUAAAAACAAGUUAUAUAUAAAAUAGUUAGUUAGAUUGGACGAAAAAAAGUUGCACCAAAACUUAAUAUUGUUUUAUAUAUAGAAGAUAUAAUAUGGAGAUUUAAUCAAAUAACUGACACAUUUGAAGAACCAUGUUUUGUUAAAUAGCUUCAUGGUUUUGUUACAUUAUGAACAAUGUUUUAGUUGACAUUGUUAUUGUAUAUUUAUUUAUUUAUCAGUGAUAGAAUCUCAUGGAAGAAAAUUUACAUAUAUUAAAUUUUUAUAUUAAAAUAAUAGAAAUGUAGCAUUAUUCAAGCUGUUCGCUUUCCUAUUCAUUUUCCAGGUUUAUAUUGCUGCAAUUCGCAACAGAAAUCUGCCCCAUCCUGCAGACUCUGAAGAACUAUAUGAAAUUGAACAUGACAAAGAAGCUGCGGUGGAAAUAGAGUAUCUACCACAUAGAGACAUUUUCAGGUUCACUUCAACUACUAUCCAAAACUAACACUAUAUGUCACUUGAUCAUAGCUUAAGCACUAAAACGUAUGAAAUACUUUGACACCGAAUGUGGCAUUAACCCUGGCAGUCGAUAAUAGUAAUAAUUUGAAAAAAUGAAUUAAUUUAUAUAGUUAAUAUACACACUUUCAUCUGAAAUCUCGAUGAGUAAAAACACUUAAGUUUGAUAUUUGGACAACGAGUAAAAACACUUAAGUUUUAUCAGCAAAAACGCGUAAAAUUACUCAUGCUAACAUCGUAAAAUUGUUGCACAGGUUCUUGGACAAAGCAGCCAUUGAAAGAAAAUCUGAUGAUUUACAAUCUGAAAAACAAGAGAUUCCAAAUCCAUGGAAACUAUGCAGAGUUACACAAGUAGAAAAUGCCAAAAUAAUCCUAAGCAUGAUUCCAAUAUUCUGUUGCACAAUCAUAAUGACUCUUUGCUUAGCACAGCUUCAAACCUUCUCAGUCCAACAAGGCUUCACAAUGGACACAAGAAUCACCAAACAUUUCAACAUCCCACCACCAUCCUUGCCAAUCAUCCCAAUUGGUUUCUUAGUCAUUAUCAUCCCUGUCUACGACCGAAUAUGCGUGCCAGUUCUUCGUAAAUUCACCGGCAUACCAACCGGAGUCACGCACCUGCAGCGCAUAGGUGUCGGCCUAAUACUAUCCUGCAUCUCGAUGGCAAUUGCAGCAAUCAUAGAAGUGAAAAGAAAAAAUGUAGCUAGAGACAAUAACAUGCUUGAUGCUGUUCCAGGAGUUCAACCAUUACCUUUGAGUAUAUUUUGGCUUUCUUUUCAGUACUUUGUGUUUGGUAUAGCUGAUAUGUUUACCUAUGUGGGACUUCUUGAGUUCUUCUAUUCAGAGGCAC
rnacentral:lncRNA from 1 species